rnacentral:lncRNA from 1 species
UCUGAUCCUUCCUUUUAUCUAAAGAACCAUUUUAAAUCGGAAGCCCGAUAUGAAUGGAUCCAGUCCCAUUCUUUGUGUGAUAUGUAGUGAAUGAAACUUCUGAACAUGAGCUUGAAUUCAAAUCAAACUUUCCAACACCCUCCUUAAGUUGGAGGGGAAGGAAGAGACACCCAACUUGCCAAGUAUGGAAGAAAGUGAAGGACCACACAAUGACUUCGUGAAUAGGUCUGCAAGUUGAGAUUUUGAGGGAACAAAAGUAAGGGAUAUGAAACCAGCAAGAAAUUGUUGCCAGACAAAGUGGCAAUCGAACUCCACAUACUUUGCCCGUUCGUGGAACACCGAAUUCCGAGCAAAAUAUGUAUGGCAGCUUGACUGUCAGAAAGAAUUGGUACCGAAAUUGAAGGUGAAAUAGAAAGAUUUGUGAGGAGUCGAGUGAGCCAAGUAAGUUCUGCUACAAGGCGAUACAUGGAUUGGUACUCCGCUUCAGUUGAGGAUAAAGAAACAGAGCUUUGUUUCUUUGAUUUCCAAUUGAUCGGUGCAACUCCCAAGUUGAUGAAGGAACCACUAACAAAUCGACGAGAGUCCCUGCAUGUGUUAGGAUUUUUGUCCUGAUUUUCUUAUUAUAUUUAAGUUUUAUUUUUUCUAACAAGGAAAAUAAAAAUGAUCAUAAUUACUUUUACUUUUACCGAAAGAAAAAAAGAUAAUUCUUUUCCAUAUUUGGCUAACCUCUUUCUUGAAGGAAAGGUUUUGAGCAUCUAUAAAUAUAAGACCCCUUCUCAUACCAUAACACAAUAACAUCCACAAUGUAGUCAUUAAAGAGUCUUUGUUUAGGGGGAGAUUUUCUCUCUCAUUAGCUUUUAUGUUUUUAAUAUUAGAUUUUAUAUGUCAGCCAAUUGGCCAAAUAAUAUAAUAAUAUUAAGCUUUUUAGUAUUGUUUUAUGCGUUUUUUGAAUUGUUACCACAAUGGUUUGCAACUAAUAGCUUCCGUAUGACGCCCUCUCAAUUUCAAACCCAACAAGUGGUAUCAAAGCCUAUGGUUCAAAGAUUCAAUGGUUCAAUUGAGGAUAGUUUAAUGUCAAAGUUGCAACCAAUUUGAUAAUAAUGAAGAUAUUUUGUCAAAAUAAAACUACAUAUGGAGAUAAUUGUCAAUCAUAUUUUCAACAAUCCUGCUGUCACAUAUUUGAAAAUAAAGCUUUCUUUUAACCCUACAAAGGGCUCCAAGAUUUUUAACCCAAAUGGGCUCAUAUAUUUUUUUAACCCCAAAAGCUCCAUUUUUAAGCAUGCCAAACAGCAGUGAUGAAGAUUAUGUGAAGAAUAAAAGAUCAAAGAUGUGAAGAAGACGGAUCAAUUAAAGAAAAUCAAGCCAAAAGGGGGAGAUUUGUUAGGAUUUUUGCCCUGAUUUUCUUACUAUAUUUAAGUUUUAUUUUUUCUUAGAAGGAAAAUAAAAGUUACCAUAAUUCCUUUUACUUUACCUGAAAGAAAAAAAUAUAAUUCUUUUCCAUAUUUGGUUAACCUCUUUCUUGGAGGAAAGGUUUUGGGCAUUUAUAAAUACAAGACCCCCCCUUCUCAUACAAUAACACAAUAGCAUUCACAAUGUAGUCAUUAAAGAGUGUUUGUUUAGGGGGAG